ACGACCUUACUUGAACAGGAUCUGUUCUAUAGGCUCGUACCACUGAAUCUUUGAAUUCUAAAGAGACAGGAUACCAAGUCUGGUUGAUGAAGCAUAGCCAUGUGACUAGAGCGUGAUUAACAGCCAACUGUAGUUUCUCGAGUUGCAGUGGCAGUAGAUGAUCGUUCUUAGACCUGAUCUCAAGCCUAGGAUGGUCUCAUGGUUGUCUGACAGAUU